AAUGUAAAAUAUUGCAUCUGAGCUUUCAAGAAACAAGUUGCACACAGGAGACUUGCUGUGAAGGAGCUGUUGAAAUGUAAGGUGCUAAGACUUUUAUAACAAGGUAACCACAUACAUUGAGCCUUCAGUAUGAUUGAUUGUGGUUUUGGUAGGUUUUUUGUGGUUUUCCUUUUUUUUUUUCUUUGCAGCGGUGAUGUAUUGUAUUUUGCUUUGUUUUCUGAGACAAACCUGCAGCUGGAUUGUAGGAGGCAAAAAAGAGACAACUUGAACUGCUGACUGUUUCAGCGAGGUUAAGGGUGCAAGGAACAUCUCAUAUUUCAUCGUCCCUCCAAAGAUCAACUGGAGAGAUUGAGAAGAGCAAGUGGGAAUCAGGUCUGCCACCAGCAUUCCCAGCUGAAACUGCUUGUGAACUGGAGCAUUGUAGGACUUGAUCUCUGCUUUUUUUGCAACUAUCUGAUUAUACUGAAUGGAUUUUGGAGAUCAUCAAAGUAUGCAGGAUGGACAGCACAUCUACUCUUGGAGAGAUGAUGAUGGAAUGAAUCGACCUCUGAAGAUGCCUAAGAUGGAAGAAUCACAAAUCAAGCAUUUAGAUGGCAAAGUUAGAAUGCUGCCAAGGUCAUUCUUGUCAUACUCUGCCAGUUACUUAAUCAGGAGUUUCCAAUGUCAGCAGUAAAAACCAUGUCACUGCAGAAUGCAGAAAGGUGGGGAAAAAUAGAGGAAUGAAAAGAGCAAUGCCUCUCAGCAUACGCUACAACUGAUCUAACUUUGAAGUUGGAUCUGACCUCAAUGUGAGCCUUAUUUGGAGCAGCAGGUUGGCCGAGAUGGCUUCCAGAGGAUUCCUCUCAUUUGAGUCAUUCUGUGCUUCUACAAUAUCACCGUUCAGGUUUACAAAUCAUGAAGAUUACAGGACUGGAUUAUAAUUUCAGUUUUCCAUAUAAACACAACAUAUCUUGGACUACACUACCAAGUGUAUAGAAAUUAAUUUCCACAGUAUUUUCAACAGUAAUAGAAACAUUACAGUCAUAAAUUGUUUAUUGAAGCUACCAGUGAAAUGUAUCAAAGAUAGCUGUCUGAGGCUAUAUGAUCACCAGAACUCUGCAUGCUGUAAAAAAGAAAUAAUUAAAAUGAAGCUGAAACACAUGGAAAUAGACUCAAGGAACAUAUGUCAAUAAAAA